GACGGAGGAUGCAAGUGUUAUCCGGAAUCACUGGGCGUAAAGCGUCUGUAGGUGGUUUAAUAAGUCAACUGUUAAAUCUUGAGGCUCAACUUCAAAAUCGCAGUCGAAACUAUUAGACUAGAGUAUAGUAGGGGUAAAGGGAAUUUCCAGUGGAGCGGUGAAAUGCGUAGAGAUUGGAAAGAACACCAAUGGCGAAAGCACUUUACUGGGCUAUCACUGACACUGAGAGACGAAGGCUAGGGGAGCGAAUGGG
rnacentral:rRNA from 1 species